GUCGACCUCGGGUCAGGCAGGGCUACCCGCUGAACUUAA
rnacentral:rRNA from 1 species